UACGGAGGAUGCGAGCGUUAUCCGGAUUUAUUGGGUUUAAAGGGUGCGUAGGCGGACUGUCAAGUCAGCGGUAAAAUUGAGAGGCUCAACCUCUUCCCGCCGUUGAAACUGGUAGUCUUGAGUGGAUGAGAAGUACGCGGAAUGCGUGGUGUAGCGGUGAUAUGCAUAGAUAUCACGCAGAACUCCGAUUGCGAAGGCAGCGUACCGGCAUCCAACUGACGCUGAGGCACGGAAGCGUGGGGAUCAAACAGG
rnacentral:rRNA from 1 species